rnacentral:rRNA from 1 species
UACGUAGGGUGCGAGCGUUAAUCGGAUUUACUGGGCGUAAAGCGAGCGCAGGUGGUUUAAUAAGUCUGAUGUAAAAGGCAGUGGCUCAACCAUUGUAUGCAUUGGAAACUGUUAGACUUGAGUGCAGUAGAGGAGAGUGGAAUUCCAUGUGUAGCGGUGAAAUGCGUAGAUAUAUGGAGGAACACCGGUGGCGAAAGCGGCUCUCUGGACUGUAACUGACACUGAGGCUCGAAAGCGUGGGUAGCAAACAGG